AUAGGGCCUCAAUGUCAGCUGGAGACAUUCUGAUUUAAUUGGUAUUGAGUAUGCUUUAGGCAUCAGGGUUGUUGGUAAAGUUCCCCAGGCGAUUCCAAUGUGCAGCAAAGUUUGGGAAUGACUGAAUUAGGGUUAAGAUCAGAAUCAUCUGGGAUGCUUUUAUCCAUAUAAUGAUGUCUCAGAUACUUCCUCAUUUUCCUAAAAGGCUUGUGAUUGCCCAGAGUUGGAGGGAAGGUGGAACUGGGAAGAUGCACGUGUUUGCAGACAUAUAUUUUGAAGAAACACUGUCCUGAAAAAUCCAUAUAUCAUUGACAUCAACUUCUUCAACUGCUUGCUGAAAAGAGCAACCAAAUGGCUGAAAUAACAGCGGAUGGCUGGGAUGCUUUUAGCAUACGGGGAUCUGUCACUCAGCCCUUGGCAGCCUCGUUGUA